CUUUUUUUUACUUUUUU
rnacentral:sRNA from 1 species